rnacentral:lncRNA from 1 species
CAAUAACCCAAGACCCCAGCUGACCCCUGGUGAUGCAGCAAGUCAACGACUUCAAUAACACACAACCUUUAACCAUGUUUGUCUUGAAAAGGAAAUGUGAAAUUGAGGCUCAGAUAUACUCUCCUAAAAGAGAGGAUGUCUUUAUAUCGUUCAAUUUUUUAUUUUAUCAAGUAAGAAACGCACAAUUUAGACUGACUGUAAAAAUUAUAACAUUGUGUAAAAAUGUGCUGUCUAACCUUUUAAAAAACGAUCACAAUAUAAUUCUUACUUUGAGUAACUUUCUAUUAUUUUUCAUGAUCUGAAAAGCAAAAGUGAUCCUAGAUCAGCACUCAUAGUUUUGGAUACAUUGUAAAUACGGCCCAGAAAUACGCAGCUUCCCUGGGUUACUUAUUUCUGAGGAGGCUAAAAAGGAAGCAUGGAAUUCCUGAUUGACCACAUUGCCAUGGCUACAUGCUGGCAAUAAGAACAUGUAAGAGAGCUUCCCUGGUGGUGCAGAGGAUAAAGACAGCUUCCCUGGUGGUGCAGAGGAUAAAGACAGCUUCCCUGGUGGUGCAGAGGAUAAAGACAGCUUCCCUGGUGGUGCAGAGGAUAAAGACAGCUUCCCUGGUGGUGCAGAGGAUAAAGACAGCUUCCCUGGCAGUGCAGAGGUUUAAGACAGCUUCCCUGGUGGUGCAGAGGUUAAAGACAGCUUCCCUGGUGGUGCAGAGGAUAAAGACAGCUUCCCUGGUGGUGCAGAGGUUAAAGACAGCUUCCCUGGCGGUGCAGAGGAAAAAGACAGCUUCCCUGGUGGUGCAGAGGAUAAAAGCCCUGGCUUGGGAACAAACAUUGCAUUUUCAAACCCCCUCAUGUGCAGAUAGUCAACAUCUGAAGGGUAAAUAAUAUGGCUGUGUUUGCAUGAUUAAAUGCUGUUCAAAUGUCCUAUGAAUUAAAUUAAAAUGUUGUGUCUCUAUAUCACCUAACGAUGCGGUCGUCAAAUGAGAAUUGUCAUUAAAUCUGGAGAGAAACAUAAAUGUGAUGUAUUCCUGUCUGCUUUAAUUCGAAUGGUGUUGUAAUAUUAGGUCAAACUUACAUAUAACUGUUUCUAAAUAUUCGUGAGGACAUUCAAGACAAGGUAAAAUGCGUG